AAAAGGUAAAGAUAGUGAGACAUGCCCUGAAUAAUAGUGAAGUCUCCUAGACCCCAAACCUUUGUUUUGGAGACAGGUCUCAUUCUGUCACCCCAGCUGGAGUGCAGUGGUUCAGUCUCAGCUCACUGCAACCUCCGUCUACCAGGCUCAUGUGAUCCUCUCACCUCAGCCUCUCAAGUAGUUGUUGACUGCAGGCACAUGCCACCAUAUGCAGCUAAAUUUUUCUGUAUUUUUUGUAGAGAUGGAUGUUGUUUUCACCACGUAAAACAACAUGUUUUCACCAUGUUGCCCAGGCUGGUCUCGAACUCCUGAGUUCAAGCGAUCCACCCACUUGGCCUCCCAAACUGCUCGAAUUACAGGCAUCAGCCACCACACCCGGCAAACCCCAAAUCUUAAACUUUUUUGGUAUGUUUUGCAGAAGCUAUACCAUCUUCAGAUUUACUAAGAGAAACUAAGGUCUUUGAAAGCCAGAUAUCUUAAAUAUUAAAAUCUUGAGAGGGAAAAAACAUGACUACUAAAGAUUUUUUUUUGCAAGUAACAGAAUCCUUUCUGUGAUGAAAUGUCUGCUAACUGAAGCUUAAACUGUUUAUAUGUGUUACCGUCCAAAUCUUUGCAGUAUUGUUUAUCAAGCAAAUAAGCGUAUCAGUCUGCGUAACCAAAGUUGUUCUGAAAAUGAUCAAAGAAUAAGGCAGCAUUCUUAUAACACAAAAGGGCUUUGGUGAAUUCUGGGUUCUAAGAAAGAAAAUUAUUUGGGGCUUUAUUCACUGCUAAUCAUUCUAUCAAAUCCUAUUUCUGAUUUUUCUUAUUUGGGAGAAGCAGACUUUAAGAUCUCAGGAGACAUGAAGCACUGGCACUUAGUACCUCUUUGGACUUUUGGCUAAUAUUAGUUCAUUAAGACUUACUUUCUCUACUUACAAUAAAGAGGAUAAUAAUUCAUACAGAUUGUGAAGAUUAGGAUAACACAAUUUGUUAAAUACAAUGCCUAGAACAGCACCUGGCACACAGUAGUUGUCUUAUUCUCUCGAGAUCAAGGAACUGUUUCAGUAGUGAAGAGAAUAUAAAGGAGGAUUGAGCCCUGGAUGAGAGAGUCAGCCAAAUUAUUAAGUUUCCUCUAACCCUGAGGCCCUUUGAGUCAAUAUGUGGUUAAUUACAUCCUUUUAAGGAAGGUUCUUUUGCUAAUCAAUUCCUGAAAGAAAUCUAAGCAUUUUUUUUCCAGAAGAAAUUUAGUCUUGCAUCACAUUAAGGUUUCUGUGAGACUGAGCAUCAGUAGCAGCAUUUGAAAAAUAGCUGGAUUAAGGCCAGUGUGCACUGCGAAUAAAAUCUCCAAAUACGGCAUGUCAUAUACAGUGCUUCUCAACCUUAUUUGAAUACAGCAUACCUAUUAACAGCCAUGGAAUUUGUAGAUUCGUUUGGGAAACACCAAUCACUAUUCUCAGAUGGUAUAUUUCAUUUUCAUUGAGAACUUUCUUAAUUUAAGGAGGUGGAAAUAAGAGUUAAAAUCAAGAAAUCGUAAUCCCUUAAAUCCUUGAAGAAGACCUAAGAGCUUUUCUCCAGCCUCUCCUACCCCAAGAGAUGCUUAUACCACCUCUGUUUGAAUGUUUCUGUUAUGGGCAGCUCACAGCCAGCUUUGUGAGUUGAUGUUUUUUUCUAUACUGAGCAAAAUAUCUGUCACCUGCUAGUUUCCAGUUAUCUGUACCACCAUUCAUCUCUCUUCCAUGCAAUAACACUUUUAUGUAUUUGAAGGAAAUCAUUAGUUUUCUAGUUUUAUAUCCAAGAGAAAAACCCUCCAAAUCCUUCACCUGUUUCUCUAUUAUGAUUUCUGUAUCCUUUCACCAUUCCAGUUGCUGUCUUUUGGACAUCCUUUAUUUGGUCAGCAUCCCUCUUGAAACAACCGAUAUUAGAACAUAGCACCUCACAUACCCCCCAGCCAGUAGAGAACGUCUAUGUUUACACUAUUACCUUUUUCCUGAAAUACGCAUCCUUCUUUUAAUGCAGUUUAGCAAUUACAUCUUCUCAUUAAUUCAUAUGAGAAGUCAAGAUCAAUCUCAUUUCUUAAAAAAAAAAAAAAAAAAAAGUUGUUUUCCCACUCUGUUCCCCAAAAAGCAGAAUCCACAUUUUUGGUAAUUGACUAGACUGUAGAAAUUUUGUAGUUACAUGAACUCCUGUAUUUAUACAUGAGUACUGAAUCUAUACACCUAAUUUUUUUCUUAAGUUAUAUAACACAAUUAGUAUUACAACAGUAAAUAGGAGAAAAAUGUUAAUGGCAAGAACAGUCACACCACCACCAUCUUAACACAUUUAUUUCUUACUUAUUUUUUUCAUUGUCCUUUUCUUAUCUGAUGAGAAAUAAAACUCAACAGGUAGAAAAUCAAACGUUCUGAUGAAGUUAAAGUCCUUUACGUCUAUAGCAGUUCCCCGGUUUUCAAUCAUGUUAGAAAAAAAAGCUUACCAAUCAUGUUAGAAAAAAAAAAGCUUAAGUUGAUAUAAUUUUGUGUUAGAAGGUCCAUGUUGUCUUUAGCUUACCAGUCAUGUUAGGAAAAAAAAAAAAGCUUAGGUUAAUAUAAUUUUGUGUUAGAAAGUCGAUGUUGUCUCCAGAGAUUUACUUCAUGCUUGUAUAAACAUGUACAAAUGUCUAAUGUUUCUUUAAAAUUCUAUACAAAAUUAACAUACUGCUUUCUAGUCUGCAAUUUACAAAUCCCAGUUUAUCUCCUGAAAAAGUUUACUCAUUAUUUACCUUUUCUGACCGUUUAUGCUUAAACAGUCUGGUUUCUACCUUACUAUUCAUAAUUUCUCAAAAGGGCAGAUUCACGUAACAUGGUGAGUCAUAAUUCUGGUCCUGGAGACUCAAUCCAGGACCAUUUAAGAAGGCCAACCACUUAGUCAUCACAUCAACUUCUGAGCUAUCCUGAACCUCAGUGUUCUCUUCACCUUGUUCCACUUGCUAUAGUUUGUUCACUAUUCUCUUUACUGAAGAGAGUGAUAGAUAACAUAGGUAUUGUGAACCCCUAUUUUCUUGCUAUCCACUAUAACAUGAAAUUAGUUUCUGUAAGUUGUAGACAUGUCUCCAUAUUUUGAAAGUAUAGGUUGAAUAUCCCAAAUCUGAAAAUCCAAGAUCCCAAGUGAUCUACUAAAAUUUGAAACUUUUUGAUCAUUAAAUGUUGCUCAAAAGAAAUGCCAUUGGAUGGCUGGGUGUGAUAACUCACACUUGUAAUCCCAGCACUUUGGGAGGCUGAGGUGAAUGGAUCACUUGAGGCCAGGAGUUCAAGACCAGCCUUGCCAACAUGGUGAAACCCAUCUCUACUAAAAAUACAAAGCAUUAUCUGGGCAUGGCGGUGGAUGCCUGUAAUCUCAGCUACUCAGGAGGCUGAGGCAGGAAAAUUUUCUGAACCUGGGAGGCAGAGAUUGCAGUGAGCUCAGAUUGCCACUGCACUUCAGCCUGGGCAACAAAUAAAACUCUGUCUCAAGCUUCUUCUCCAAUAAAACACCAAAUGGCGGAUGACGCCGCUGCAGCCGGGGUGCCCAGAGGCCCCGGGGGACCCCGGGAUGGGGAACCGCAGAGGUUUCAGCAGUGGCAUCCGGGGCUGGGGUCGUGGUCAUGGACGGAGCUGGGGCUGAGGCCGCGGAGCUCGCAGAGGCAAAGCCAAGGAUAAGGAAUGGAUGCCUGUCACUAAGUUGGGCCGCCUGGUCAAAGACAUGAAGAUUAAAUCUCUGGAGGAGAUCUAUCUCUUCUCUCUGCCCAUCAAGGAAUCUGAGAUCAUUGACUUUUUCCUGGGGGCCUCUCUCAAGGAUGAGGUUUUGAAGAUUAUGCCGGUGCAGAAGCAGACCCGUGCUGGCCAGCACACUAGGUUCAAGGCAUUUGUUGCUAUUGGGGACCACAAUGGUCACGUCGGUCUGGGUGUUAAGUGUUCCAAGGAGGUGGCCACCGCUAUCCAUGGGGCCAUGAUCCUGGCCAAGCUCUCCAUUGUCCCCAUGCGCAGAGGCUACUGGGGGAACAAGAUUGGCAAGCCCCACACUGUCCCUUGCAAGGUGAAAGGCCGCUGUGGUUCUGUGCUGGUGUAUCUCAUCCCCAUGCCCAGGGGUACUGGCAUCGUCUCAGCACCUGUGCCCAAGAAGCUGCUUAUGAUGGUUGGUGUUGAUGACUGCUACACCUCAGCUAGGGGCUGCACUGCCACCUUGGGCAACUUUGCCAAGGCCACCUUUGAUGCCAUCUCUAAGACUUACAGCUACCUGACCCCUGAUCUCUGGAAGGAGACUGUGUUCACCAAGUCUCCCUAUCAGGAAUUCACUGACCACCUUGUAAAGACCCACACCAGAGUCUCCAUGCAGAGGACCCAAGCUCCAGCUGUGGCUACAACAUAGGG